GCGGUGCGAUCUGAUGCCACGCCACAGCCGCCGGAGGGGGAGCGAAGACAGAACGCUGCUCGCCACGGAUAAGCGGGUUUUGUUGCCUCCAUGCGGAGCCGAGUGAGCUCUGGCCUGGCUUCUUUUCGACAAGCUCUCCUCUGUUCUAGUUUCGCUAUGAACGUGAACUGGCCACCUUGUGCGACAACGUUACGUGAAGCAGCGGAGACGUUUCACCGGUGCUCUGACCGUAGUUGUGUCCCGUCACCUUUCGUUUCUCAUCACGAGGAUUAUCAUCACCCCUGUGGCCUUGACACUUUUCAGAGAGCUCCGUGCACCCGAGGUCGCCUUUUCCUGCCUUGCGUCCUGACCUCUGACUGAGCCCGUGCUUGUAUUCAACCUUUUGACAUAUCGGUCAUCUGUUGAUUCUGUUGUUGUUCCGGGAGUGUAUUGAAUAAAUACGUAUCAAAGCCGACUUGCAUAAUAAUGUGGACAGUGGACAUAUUACAGUGACACAGGUUGCAUUGCAUUUGUUAUUGCCUUCGGAAGAAGUCUUUAUACAGCUAAA